AAUAGAUACCCGGGUAGUCCUAGCCGUAAACGAUGCAUACUUGGUGUAGCCGGACUCAACCCCGGCUGUGCCGUAGCUAACGCGUUAAGUAUGCCGCCUGGGGAGUACGCUCGCAAGGGUGAAACUCAAAAGAAUUGACGGGGACCCGCACAAGCAGUGGAGCAUGUGGUUUAAUUCGAUGCAACGCGAAAAACCUUACCCAGACUUGACAUGCAGUGGACCGCAACAGAAAUGUUGCUUUCCUUCGGGACCGCUGCACAGGUGCUGCAUGGCUGUCGUCAGCUCGUGCCGUGAGGUGUUGGGUUAAGUCCCGCAACGAGCACAACCCUUAUCGUUAGUUGCCAACAUUUUAGGUGGGAACUCUAACGAGACUGCCUGGGUUAACCAGGAGGAAGGUGAGGAUGACGUCAAGUCCGCAUGGCCCUUAUGUCUGGGGCUACACACGUGCUACAAUGGUCGGUACAGAAGGCAGCAAAGCCGCGAGGUAGAGCAAAUCCAGAAAGCCGAUCCCAGUUCGGAUUGUAGU
rnacentral:rRNA from 1 species